rnacentral:rRNA from 1 species
GACGAACGCUGGCGGCGUGCCUAAUACAUGCAAGUAGAACGAGUUGCGAACGGGUGAGUAACGCGUAGGAACCUGCCUCAUAGCGGGGGAUAACUAUUGGAAACGAUAGCUAAUACCGCAUACUGUGAGAUGGACCUGCGUUGUAUUAGCUAGUUGGUGAGGUAAAGGCCUACCAAGGCGACGAUCCGUAACUGGUCUGAGAGGUUGAUCAAUCCCACUGGAACUGGACCCCGGUCCAGUCUCCUCCGGGGGGCGACGGUGGGGAUUAUUGGACAGUGGGCGAAAGCCUGAUCCGUCGGUACCGCUUGUGUGAGAGAGGUCUUCGAGUGUUAGAGCACUUUAAGUUGGAAGACGUUACCUGCAGAGUAAGCACCAGCUAACUUCGUGCCAGCAGCCGCGGUAAUAC